UGCAAACGAAAACAGGGGAGAAAGGAAAGAAAAAGAAAAAGGGAAGGAAAGAAAGAAAAUUUGGGGUUUCAAGGUUUCAAGCUCAAUUGCUAAUGUCGUGCAAGAGUCAUUGUCGAGAAAGGAAAGGGGAAGGUGAUCAAGGAGUGACUCGAGAAAAUUUACGGUUAG